CGCAGUAGAGUGACAGAAACAGACGCUAACGGCUGUUUGUGAGGUCGACAAAAAAAAUCUGUGAUACGACCGUUUUCCAUUGUUGUACAGCCGUUAAAACAGGAAUUUCAACUGAACUAUCACAUCGACAGUUGCUAUGGGUGCCGGUUCGAGCACCGAGGCCGAAAGAGAGCAGCUUCUCGCCCCGCGUCCAGCGGAGACAGUCAGUCCACCAGUAAACAGCAGAGUGUACCGGAGAAGAUGGCUGGUUCUGACCGUGUUUUCCUUGAUAGGACUCAUGCAAGGAAUGGUGUGGAACUUCUGGGGUCCUAUCCAGAACUCGGCCGUUCACGCUUACGGCUUCACCAAGUCCGACAUCGCAGUUCUGGUGCUGUGGGGCCCCGUGGGUUUUGUCCCCUGGUUGCUGUUUAUGUGGUUACUGGAUAAAAAAGGUUUGCGGGCAUCACUCCUGCUCUCCGCCUUCUUCAUGCUGCUGGGAGCAGCUCUUCGCAGCAUCCCAGUGAAAGAGCAGCUCCUCAGACGAUGGUUGAUACAUGGAGGUCAGUUUCUGAAUGGUUUAGCCGGCCCAACCAUAAUGAGCGCCGGCCCCUACCUCUCCACCACAUGGUUCGCUCCUGACCAGAGAGCCACCGCAACAGCAGUGGCCACUCUCUUCUCCUACUUGGGAGGUGCUGCUUCGUUUGUGGUGGGACCUCUGGUAGUGCCAGCCCCCAAUGACACCCAGGCAAUGACCACAGUGGCGUUUUCCAACAGUUCCAUCCGAGACAGGAUCCAGCUGGUUAUGUAUACAGAAUUGGCUGCAAUUGCUGUGCUUUUUGUGGCAGUCCUGGUCUAUUUCCCAUCUCACCCACCAGUGCCUCCCAGUGUCGCCGCUGCAAGCCAGAGACUCAGUUACAGGAGCAGCAUCUGCAGACUUCUUAGUAACCUGCGGUUCCUGAUGAUAGCACUAGCCUAUGCAGUCCCCACAGGAGUGAUUGCCGGCUGGUUGGGAGUCCUUGACAUGGUCCUUACACCAGCCAAAGUCAGCCAGAUGGAUGCAGGCUGGAUUGGUUUCUGGUCGGUUAUCGGUGGAUGUGUGUUUGGAGUGGUAAUGGCCAGAUUUGCAGACUCUAUUCAUGGGAUGCUGAAACUCAUCCUGGUGCUGAUGCUGGCAGGAGCCUCACUGUCCUCUACUUGGUUCACACUUACCUGUUUGAGCAGAAUCACUCACCUCCCCUCCACUACAGCCAUCCUGUACACUUCAUGCAUCCUGAUCGGCAUUUUUAUCAACAGCAGUGUGCCGAUAUUCUUUGAGCUCUUCAUCGAGACAGUGUACCCUGUCCCUGAAGGCAUCACCUGUGGAGUGGUCACUUUCCUGGGGAACCUGGUCACCGGACUGCUCCUUUUCUUUCUCACUUUCUACUGCAAAGAGCUGUCGUGGCUCAACUGGUGUCUGACUGGCUCCUGUCUCUUCAGCCUUGUCGUCCUCCUCUUCUUCAGGGAAUCCUACGACCGCCUCUACCUGGAUGUCUUCGUCUCUGUGUGACACUGCUGAGGACAAAGGGCCGAAUAUUUUUUUUUUUGCACACAAAACAGGAGAUGAGCGAAUAAAGGAAAGCCCACACCCUUUACAUGUACAAUUUUAGGAAGUAAGUGUGCAUAUACUGGGAACAGUGGUGAUGGACUGCUGUGGUAUGGCUGCCGAGAAGCACCACAAAGCGUUUCUACAUCAAUGUUUAGUCUUUAUACUGUACGUGAUCGACUCAAUGCCAUAUGACUAAUACAUCAUUACCAGUUUUAGAUGCCAGUCUUUGGUAUUUGUGAACAGUUUUUUUAGUUGUUGUUGUUGUUGUUGUUUACAGAUGUUCUAUUUAAAGUUGCUGUCACUGUUGCCCUCGUGGCUGCUCGAGUCACCUUCCUUGAUGGACUCUAAAGUAAACCGGACACUAUUUCACAGCUGACGAGCCUUUCAUGAGGAAGUAAAGAGACCGCUUCAUCAGAAGGUCUGACUGUCCUGAGUCUGGGGUAAACAGACUCCAAACAGCAGGCAGUCGCUCCCUGGGUGGCUUAACUAGCUCAACAUUAAAUGACCUGUGACGCUGCAGAUUUUAAUAAUUUGUUUUCCUCUGUAACCUGCCAGUAUUUAUUGGAAAUGCCUCAACACUAACACCCAGACUCCCGGAAACAGGAUGUUUGGUGACAGUUUCAACCACAGCUGAGACACAGGAGGAGAUUAUUUUAUCAUAUAUGAGACAUGAGAAUUACGUUACACUGUAAUUGCCAAGCUGCUCAAGCUCCAAAGCACCAGCAGGUGUUUCUGCGUCGACAGCCUACUGACAAAAGGAAAAAAGAAGUUGCCAGUUUUUGAAUUCCUUGACUGAUGAAACUGGAACUGUGACAAAAACCAGCUCCAAAUCUUUAGGGACAUGACCAGAAAGAAACGCAACAGCAAAUGCAAAACAUCUGUCACUUGUAGUCAAAACAUUUUCUCCGACUUGUCCAUGACUUCUUUUUGGGUCUUUGUCUUGCACGGCAGUUAUAGGAAGUGUUUUAAAGUGGUUUCCUCUGGGCUUUACGGAGACUCUGUAAUGUGUUUCCUGGUGCUUGCUUUUUUUUAAUGUCUGUACUGAAAAGGUUUUCUCGUACCUUUUGGCGUGUUGCCUUAAUUGCCUGGUGCAGUGCAUUAAAGCUCCCUCUCUUCUACACUGUGACUAAUUUGUCUGUAUAUACUGUUGAAGGUCAUGUUCUUAUGUUCUGCGCCUCACGCUCUGUGGCUUCCCAGGCACUGCUUUAUAAAUAUCCUUGUCCUGUGGAAAGGAAAAAGAACAAAUGUGACUGUCGAACAUUUUCAGCACCUUAUUAAAAUGAGCAUUUUAAGAAUA